CCUUAACCCUAACCCUAGGCGAUGGAACAGCCAUUAUCUUCCCUCUUUCUUCAUGUCCGGUAGCCGCCGCUACCUAUGGAACACCUCCAGCUGUCGCUGCUUCGCUGAGGAACUCCGCCAACGGAAACGUCGUUUCGACCGGUUUGGACGCCAAGGCCGACAACUGAGUGCGUAUUGUUGCUGUGAGAGCCGGGAGCGACCAGAAAAUCAUUGGCAAGGAAGCAAGGUAAACCGCCGCCACCACCAUGUGAGGUGGUGGCUUUCAUCACAACCGCCGAUGUUGCCGCCUCGAGAUGUCCGAUAGGGUGUGUUUUUCAUGUCCAACAUGUUGUGUGUGUUGGUUAUUGCUUCAGUAGAGUGGGUGUCAUGUAGGGUGUGUUUGAUGGCCGGAAAAUGGAAAAGAUACCCACCAUGGCCGCCGGCCAUGGUGGCUGCCACCACAUGCCACCGUCGGCCGCCAUUAGGUUGUUGUAUAUAUGCUUGUAUUAGUGUGUGUGUGAUUAUUUGGGGUUUUAGCAUUGUAAAAUGUAACCGGAAAGAAAAAAAUAAUGAAAAGAAACUCAAACCACCACCGUAGGGUGGUGGCUGCCGCCGUGUCGGGUGGCGGUGUGCUUUGCCUCGUUGUGAUUGAUUCGUAUGGGGUGCUUGAAACCCUAAUGGGCCCGAAGAAGCCUUAAUGAGAUCGGGAAUCUGUCAUCCAGUAGCUGGGGUUGAGUCUGCGGGACGUCAGCAGUAUGGAGUUGAGUCUUCGGGACUUCAGCAGUGCGAGGUGCUUUGUUUGCAAAGGAAAGGAGCCGGCUUGAUCGCAGCGCAUCACACUAUGUUUUCCGCACACUAGAUCCUUGGGAUUAUACUCUGAUAUGGUUUCAUAAUAUUAUAUUUUGAUUAUUCACACUUUGGUUUUAUGUAAUAACCUAAUUAAAAAUGAAAUUUUUGGCCUUGAA